AACGAACGCUGGCGGCAUGCCUAGCACAUGCAAGUCGAACGAGACCUUCGGGUCUAGUGGCGCACGGGUGCGUAACGCGUGGGAACCUGCCCUUAGGUUCGGAAUAACUCCCCGAAAGGGGUGCUAAUACUGGAUAAUGUCUUCGGACCAAAGAUUUAUCGCCUUUGGAUGGGCCCGCGUUGGAUUAGCUAGUUGGUAGGGUAAAAGCCUACCAAGGCGACGAUCCAUAGCUGGUCUGAGAGGAUGAUCAGCCACACUGGGACUGAGACACGGCCCAGACUCCUACGGGAGGCAGCAGUGGGGAAUAUUGGACAAUGGGCGAAAGCCUGAUCCAGCAAUGCCGCGUGAGUGAUGAAGGCCUUAGGGUUGUAAAGCUCUUUUACCCGGGAUGAUAAUGACAGUACCGGGAGAAUAAGCUCCGGCUAACUCCGUG
rnacentral:rRNA from 1 species